GACGUAGGGGACGAGCGUUGUCCGGAUUCAUUGGGCGUAAAGGGCGCGUAGGCGGCAUGACAAGUCACUUGUGAAAUCUCCGGGCUUAACUCGGAACGGUCAAGUGAUACUGUCGCGCUAGAGUGCGGAAGGGGCAAUCAGAAUUCUUGGUGUAGCGGUGAAAUGCGUAGAUAUCAAGAGGAAUACCUGAGGUGAAGACGGGUUGCUAGGCCGACACUGACGCUGAAGCGCGAAAGCCAGGGGAGCAAACGGG
rnacentral:rRNA from 1 species